AAAAACAUCGCCUUGUGAUAAAAUAUACAAGGUCUAGCCUGCCCGGUGAUUUAUUUUAACGGCCGCGGUACCCUAACCGUGCAAAGGUAGCACAAUCACUUGUUCCUUAAAUAGGGACUAGUAUGAACGGCAUCACGAGGGUUAUGCUGUCUCCCUCUUUUAAUCAGUGAAACUGAUCUCCCCGUGAAGAAGCGAGGAUAUUAUUAUAAGACGAGAAGACCCCAUGGAGCUUUAAACUCAGAAACACCAGCUACUUUUUAAAUCAAAUUAAUUGGCUUCCAUGAUUUCUAGUUUUCGGUUGGGGUGACCAUGGAGUACAACACAACCUCCUUGAUGAACGGAACUAGUUUCCUUAUUUAAGAACUACAGUUCUAAAAAUCAACAUAUUGACAAAAAUUGAUCCAAAUUUUUUUGAUCAACGAACCAAGUUACCCUGGGGAUAACAGCGCAAUCCAUUUCAAGAGCUCAUAUCGACAAAUGGGUUUACGACCUCGAUGUUGGAUCAGGGUAUCCCAGUGGUGCAGCCGCUACUAAAGGUUCGUUUGUUCAACGAUUAAAACCCUACGUGAUCUGAG
rnacentral:rRNA from 1 species